rnacentral:lncRNA from 1 species
AUGACCUAAGGAACCAUAGCCACCGCCCCUCCAUGACCAUUCUUCAUUGUUUUGCUUUAUACAGCCAAAAAACUUGAAUUUUGCCCGAUUGCAAUAUUUUCGUGUGCUAUAGCCCACGCCUUUCAAGUUGGACCGGGCUCCCGGACCCCGAUCGCCUAAAAAUUUUCCGAGCCAUCAAAUACGACCUAAGGAACCAUAGUCACCACCCCGCUAUGGCCGUUCCUCGUUGUUUUGCGUUUUACGGCCAAAAAACUAGAAUUCCGCCUGAUUCCCAUAUUUUCGUGUGCUAUAGCCCACGCCUUCUAAGUGGAUCCGGGCCCCUGGACCCCAAUCAACUAAAAAAUUUCCAGGCCAUCAAAUACAACUUAAGGAACCAUAGUCACCACCCCGCCAUGACCGUUCCUUGUUUUUUUCCUUUUUACGUCCAAAAAACUAGAAUUUCAGGCGAUUGCCAUAUUUUGGUGGGCUAGCCCAUGCCUUCCGAGUGGGUUCGGACCCCCCGGACCCCGAUCGCCUAAAAUUAUUUCGGGCCAUCAAAUACGACCUAAGGAACCAUAGUCACUGCCCCGCCUUGGCCGUUCCUCGUUGUAUUACGUUUUACGGCCCCGGACCCCAAUCGCCUAAAAUUAUUCCGGGCUAUCAAAUACGAUCUAAGGAACCAUAGUUACCGCCCCGCCUUGGCUGUUCCUCGUUGUUUUGCAUUUUGCGGCCCCAGACCCCGAUCGCCUAAAAAUUUUCCAGGCUAUCACAUACGACCUAAGGAACCAUAGUCACCACCCCGCCACUGCCGUUCCUCAUUGUUUUGCAUUUUACGGCCAAAAAACUAGAAUUCCGCCCGAUUCUCAAAUAUUCGUAUGCUAUAGCCUACGCCUUCCAAGUGGGACCGGGCCCCCGGACCCCGAUCGCCUAAAAUUUUUCCGAGCCAUCAAAUACGACUCAAGGAACCAUAGUCACUGCCCUGCCAUGGCCGUUCCUCGUUGUUUUGCAUUUUACAACCAAAAAACUAGAAUUUCUCCGUUUUCCAUAUUUUCGUGUGCUAUAGCCCACGUCUUCCGAGUGGGUCCGAACCCCGGUACACCGAUCGCCUAAAAUUAUUCCAGGCCAUCAAAUACAACCUAAAUAACCAUAGUCACCACCCCGCCAUGGCCGUUCCUCAUUGUUUUGCGUUUUACGGACAAAAAACUAGAAUUUCGCCUGAUUCCCAUAAUUUUGUGUGCUAUAGCCCACACCUUCUGAGUGGGUCCAGGCCCCCCGGACCCCGAUCAUAAAAAAUUUAUUUGGGACAUCAAAUACGACCAAAGGAUCCAUAGUCAGCGCCUCGCCAUGACCGUUCCUCGUUGUUUUGCUUUUUAUGACCAAAAAAUAAGAAUUUCGCAUGAUUCCCAUAUUUCCGUGUGCUCUCUAGCCCACACCUUCCGAGUGGGACCG